GCCGACGUAGCUCAGCCGGUAGAGCAGCUGAUUCGUAAUCAGCAGGUCGUGGGUUCGAGUCCCAUCGUCGGCU
rnacentral:tRNA from 1 species